rnacentral:rRNA from 1 species
GAUGAACGCUGGCGGCGUGCCUAAUACAUGCAAGUCGAGCGAACGGACGAGAAGCUUGCUUCUCUGAUGUUAGCGGCGGACGGGUGAGUAACACGUGGAUAACCUACCUAUAUGUCUGGGAUAACUUCGGGAAACCGUAGCUUAUACCGGAUAAUAUUUUGAACCGCAUGGUUCAAAAGUGAAAGUCGGUCUUGCUGUCACUUAUAGAUGGAUCCGCGCUGCAUUAGCUAGUUGGUAGGGUAACGGCCUACCAAGGCAACGAUGCGUAGCCGAACUGAGAGAGUGAUCGGCCACACUAGAACUGAGACACGGACCAGACUACUACGGGAGGCAGCAGUAGGGAAUCUUCGGCAGUGGGCGAAAGCCUGACGGAGCAACGCUGCGUGAGUGAUGACGGUCUUCGGAUCGUAAAGCUCUGUUAUUAGGGAAGAACAGAUGUGUAAGUAACUGUGCCCAUCUUGACGGUACCUAAUCAGAAAGCAACGGCUAACUACGUG